rnacentral:rRNA from 1 species
UUUAAAGGGUGCGUAGGCGGGUUAUUAAGUCAGUGGUGAAAUUACAGUGCUUAACAUUGUAGCUGCCAUUGAUACUGAUAGUCUGGAGUUUAGUUGACGUUGGCGGAAUGUGUCAUGUAGCGGUGAAAUGCAUAGAUAUGACACAGAACACCGAUAGCGAAGGCAGCUGACGAAACUAUAACUGACGCUGAUGCACGAAAGCGUGGGGAUCAAACAGGAUUAGAUACCCUGGUAGUCCACGCUGUAAACGAUGAUCACUAGCUGUAUGCGAUACACAGUAUGUGGCUAAGGGAAACCGAUAAGUGAUCCACCUGGGGAGUACGUCGGCAACGAUGAAACUCAAAGGAAUUGACGGGGGCCCGCACAAGCGGAGGAGCAUGUGGUUUAAUUCGAUGAUACGCGAGGAACCUUACCUGGGCUUGAACGUAUGGUGCAUGUGGGUGAAAGCUCACUUUCUAGCAAUAGACUUCAUACGAGGUGCUGCAUGGUUGUCGUCAGCUCGUGCCGUGAGGUGUUAGGUUAAGUCCUGCAACGAGCGCAACCCCUGUAUUUAGUUGCCAUCAGGUAAAGCUGGGCACUUUAGAUAGACUGCCUGCGCAAGCAGAGAGGAAGGUGGGGAUGACGUCAAAUCAGCACGGCCCUUACGUCCAGGGCUACACACGUGCUACAAUGGCCGGUACAGAGGGCAGCCACUGGGUGACC